GACGAACGCUGGCGGCGUGCUUAACACAUGCAAGUCGAACGGUGACGAGGAGCUUGCUCCUCCGAUCAGUGGCGAACGGGUGAGUAACACGUGAGCAACCUGCCCCUCACUCUGGGAUAACAGUUGGAAACAGCUGCUAAUACCGGAUACGACACAGACAGGCAUCUGUACUGUGUGGAAAGUUCUUCGGUGAGGGAUCCGGGCUCGCGGCCUAUCAGUUUGUUGGUGGGGUAAUGGCCUACCAAGACGACGACGGGUAGCCGGCCUGAGAGGGUGUCCGGCCACACUGGGACUGAGAUACGGCCCAGACUCCUACGGGAGGCAGCAGUGGGGAAUAUUGCACAAUGGGCGCAAGCCUGAUGCAGCGACGCCGCGUGGGGGAUGACGGCCU
rnacentral:rRNA from 1 species